UAGAGGUUUGUUAAAUUACAUAUGACUUUGGAGAGACAUAAUCAUUUCCUUACAUUUGCAUAUCACACUUGAAUUCCAUUCAUCAUGCGACAGCCGAGAGAGAAAAGCCCUGGUUUGAAGAUCCUCUGGAUUUGGACUUUUGGAACCGCUGCUAUACUUAUUGCGAAUGUGAUGCGAACCAGUAUAAGAGAUUUUCAAAAUGUCUUGAACGCUGAAGAACAACAACAACAAAAUCAGCAACAAAAUGAUAACGUUGUGAUUGAUGAUUCUCGUGUUUCAGAGGAGAGGGUAGUUGAAGACUAAUUCAAUUUGUAUGAGUAUUGAUAUUUUGAUAUUUACUUGUCUUUGCUUUGGUAACGAUGUUUAAACUUGUUGAGGAUAAAUGGGCACGCAACGUGUUUGUUGAAAGUCCUAGUUGAAAACUUAAAAUCAUGUCUUGGCUAUUAAUUUCUUGUGUGUGAUUUGAA